GGGCGUGUGGCUCAGUGGAUAGAGCACGUGGCUACGGACCACGGGGUCGGGGGUUCGAAUCCCUCCACGCCCG
rnacentral:tRNA from 7 species